rnacentral:rRNA from 1 species
ACACAUGCAAGUCGAGGGGCAGCAUGGUCUUAUCUUGCUAAGGCCGAUGGCGACCGGCGCACGGGUGAGUAACACGUAUCCAACCUGCCGUCUACUCUUGGACAGCCUUCUGAAAGGAAGAUUAAUACAAGAUGGCAUCAUGAGUCCGCAUGUUCACAUGAUUAAAGGUAUUCCGGUAGACGAUGGGGAUGCGUUCCAUUAGAUAGUAGGCGGGGUAACGGCCCACCUAGUCUUCGAUGGAUAGGGGUUCUGAGAGGAAGGUCCCCCACAUUGGAACUGAGACACGGUCCAAACUCCUACGGGAGGCAGCAGUGAGGAAUAUUGGUCAAUGGGCGAGAGCCUGAACCAGCCAAGUAGCGUGAAGGAUGACUGCCCUAUGGGUUGUAAACUACUUUUAUAAAGGAAUAAAGUCGGGUAUGGAUACCCGUUUGCAUGUACUUUAUGAAUAAGGAUCGGCUAACUCCGUGCCAGCAGCCGCGGUAAUACGGAGGAUCCGAGCGUUAUCCGGAUUUAUUGGGUUUAAAGGGAGCGUAGAUGGAUGUUUAAGUCAGUUGUGAAAGUUUGCGGCUCAACCGUAAAAUUGCAGUUGAUACUGGAUAUCUUGAGUGCAGUUGAGGCAGGCGGAAUUCGUGGUGUAGCGGUGAAAUGCUUAGAUAUCACGAAGAACUCCGAUUGCGAAGGCAGCCUGCUAAGCUGCAACUGACAUUGAGGCUCGAAAGUGUGGGUAUCAAACAGGAUUAGAUACCCUGGUAGUCCACACGGUAAACGAUGAAUACUCGCUGUUUGCGAUAUACUGCAAGCGGCCAAGCGAAAGCGUUAAGUAUUCCACCUGGGGAGUACGCCGGCAACGGUGAAACUCAAAGGAAUUGACGGGGGCCCGCACAAGCGGAGGAACAUGUGGUUUAAUUCGAUGAUACGCGAGGAACCUUACCCGGGCUUAAAUUGCAGAUGAAUUACGGUGAAAGCCGUAAGCCGCAAGGCAUCUGUGAAGGUGCUGCAUGGUUGUCGUCAGCUCGUGCCGUGAGGUGUCGGCUUAAGUGCCAUAACGAGCGCAACCCUUGUUGUCAGUUACUAACAGGUUCCGCUGAGGACUCUGACAAGACUGCCAUCGUAAGAUGUGAGGAAGGUGGGGAUGACGUCAAAUCAGCACGGCCCUUACGUCCGGGGCUACACACGUGUUACAAUGGGGGGUACAGAGGGCCGCUACCACGCGAGUGGAUGCCAAUCCCCAAAACCUCUCUCAGUUCGGACUGGAGUCUGCAACCCGACUCCACGAAGCUGGAUUCGCUAGUAAUCGCGCAUCAGCCACGGCGCGGUGAAUACGUUCCCGGGCCUUGUACACACCGCCCGUCAAGCCAUGGGAGCCGGGGGUACCUGAAGUGCGUAACCGCGAGGAGCGCCCUAGGGUAAAACUGGUGACUGGGGCUAA